rnacentral:misc_RNA from 1 species
GUUUAUUGAGGGUUUUGUUGAGACUGUAGAGAUGGCGCCUAGUACGAUCCGGAAGGCGAUCGGGGCCGUGAAGGACCAGACGAGUAUUGGAAUUGCGAAGGUUGCGAGUAAUAUGGCGCCGGACCUCGAGGUAGCGAUCGUGAAGGCGACGAGCCAUGACGAUGAUCCGGCCAGUGAGAAGUACAUCAGGGAGAUUUUGAGCCUCACAUCAUAUUCUCGUGGAUAUGUGAGUGCGUGUGUGUCGGCAAUUUCGAAGCGUCUGGCGAAGACGAGGGACUGGAUUGUGG